AUAAACAGAGUCAUCACACGACAAACGGGGUUUAUUGGGGCUGUACUGACGAGAGUAAGUCCACCACCCAGCGAAGAAGCCUUCUGAGCCUCAGCUUAAAUAGCCCAGGAGUCCAGGUCAUCAGGUAGAUUCACGGCAGGUGCGUGGGCCAAGGGCGGAGCCCAGCUGAGCUCCGCCCAGGCAGACAGUUUCCCAGCAUGCCUUGGCUGUGCUCAUGGAAGUGAAUGAGGGGGAAAGAUCUGUCCUGCUGCCCUGUCAGUACUCGGAUUUCAUACCUGGUGAUCUCAGAGGACAAAAGCAGCGUUACAGCGGCGCACAUCGAUGAGAGCUGAUGCUCUCAACACUUCAGACCUCCGCCUGUCUCUGAGAAAACCAACAA